rnacentral:rRNA from 1 species
UACGAAGGGGGCUAGCGUUGCUCGGAAUUACUGGGCGUAAAGGGCGCGUAGGCGGUCUUUUAAGUCGGGGGUGAAAUCCUGGAGCUCAACUCCAGAACUGCCUUCGAUACUGGAAGACUUGAGUCCGGGAGAGGUGAGUGGAACUGCGAGUGUAGAGGUGAAAUUCGUAGAUAUUCGCAAGAACACCAGUGGCGAAGGCGGCUCACUGGCCCGGUACUGACGCUGAGGUGCGAAAGCGUGGGGAGCAAACAGG